UGGGGGGCGGGGGCGGGGGCGGGGCGAGGCCGCCGCGGUCCGGACCCCAGACGUGGGCUCCGGGCUCUGCACCCAGCUCCUGCCCCGGCGCGCACACGCGCUUCCUCUCUUGAACUCCCGGUCGUCCGGAGGCGAAGGUCCCGGAGCGUUCACGAGAAUCCGGGUCCCAGCGAGUCCAGGGUCCGCUCCUCCAGCUGCGCCCCGGACGCACGAGCCGGCCAGCCUCGGGGAGAGGGCGCGGGGGCGCUGCGGGUUCUUACGGAAGAUGAGGAAGCCCGACAGCAAGAUCGUGCUGCUGGGGGACAUGAACGUGGGGAAGACGUCGCUGCUGCAGCGGUAUAUGGAGCGGCGCUUCCCGGACACGGUCAGCACGGUGGGCGGCGCCUUCUACCUGAAGCAGUGGCGCUCCUACAACAUCUCCAUCUGGGACACCGCAGGGCGGGAGCAGUUCCACGGCCUGGGCUCCAUGUACUGCCGGGGGGCGGCCGCCAUCAUCCUCACCUAUGAUGUGAAUCACCGGCAGAGCCUGGUGGAGCUGGAGGACCGGUUCCUGGGCCUGACAGACACAGCCAGCAAAGACUGCCUCUUUGCCAUCGUGGGGAACAAAGUGGACCUCACUGAGGAGGGGGCCUUGGCAGGCCAGGAGAAGGAAGAGUGCAGUCCCAAUAUGGACGCCGGGGACUGUGUCUCCCCCAGGGCGCCUAAGCAGGUGCAGCUGGAGGACGCGGUGGCCCUUUAUAAAAAGAUCCUCAAGUACAAGAUGCUGGAUGAGCAGGACGUGCCGGCCGCUGAGCAAAUGUGCUUUGAGACCAGCGCCAAGACCGGCUACAAUGUGGACCUCCUGUUUGAGACCCUGUUUGACCUGGUGGUGCCAAUGAUCUUACAGCAGAGAGCUGAGAGGCCGUCACACACAGUGGAUAUAUCCAGUCAUAAGCCACCCAAGAGGACCAGAUCUGGGUGUUGUGCUUGACUUUUGAGGGCCUCCUGGACUCAGAUUGUGCAUGUGGGAAGGGGUCUGACCAGGCAAGCUGUGAUCUGAAAGGAGCAAGGAACACCAAGGAAUUAUUUUCCAGAAUGACACAUGCAGCAGAACGCUGGAGUGGAAAUGAUGGCCGGCUAUGAAGAGGAGGUCAACAAACCACGUCAGUUCUUGGAAAGCUUGAAAUCUCUCAGUUUGGCAACUCAGCUGUUGGAGACGGCGCAGAUUUCCCCACUGGGUGUGGGUUUGAGCUCGUGACCUCGAGCAUCCGUCUUUCCUUUGUACAAAGCGGCCACUCCAGGGAGGAGAAGAGCAAGUGACGGUCCAGGGUUAAUGGCUGCGUGUGGUCUUGGAGCUCCCUUCUGCACUUUCCAGCUGUCCGUGUCCCCAUGCAGAUGAGAACCCUUUCCUCAAUGACACCUCAUAACCAGCUGCAGCCUCUCAUCUCUAAGUGUUCCUGGCCUCUGAGAAGAACCUAGUUAAUUAAAAUGGGCUUGUGCAAUGAAAUUGUGAAAUACCCCUCGGGUGCAGGGACUCUCGCAGUAUGUGGAAAUGACCCCACCGUUUGAGCUUCUGGACAUCGCAGGUCCUGGACACGUAUGAGUGCUUACAUGCCUGCAGCUUUAGGCACAUUCACGUGUAGUGACUGAUUUCGUUCUCCUGAUGUCACUCUGAUGCACAGGUCUAGGGUGAAACAUUCCUCUUAUGUUUAACACUGGGCACUGACGCUGAAGUGUGAUCCACACACAAGGUCCCACUCAGGCUUCCUGAUCUCGCCUUCCCACAUAGCCCUGCUGUGUAGAGGUCCUGGCCUCAGCCAGCUUCUGGAGGAACACGAGCCAGGGCAGCUGCUUAUCUAUGUCAAAUAACAUUAUAAGUUUAAAGUUCUACUUUCUGUUGCAUCAACAUGUUUAGCCUUUAUGGAAGUGCAUGGCAGGCCUCCUGGAUCCCAGAGUUGGUGUAUAAGGGCCAUUUGGCUUGGCCGAGCAGGCUUUGAGUGACUACACUGGCAUUUCGGAACAGCUCUGUUCUUCUAUGAGUUCUCAGACAUACUGGGCCAAGUUGGAUCAUCAGGGAGUGGCGUCUUCAUGGAAUAGCAUUUUGGACAAAGCCAGAGACAUUCAAUAUCACGGCCAAGGUCAAAUGGUGAAAAUAUGUUGCAUGUGAGACGCAGAACAAGAACCCAACAGGUGCUCAUCGCCAUCAUGGCAGGAAACAGCAAGACAACUUGACGAGGAUCUCCCGCCACUUGCCCACUGGAACUGGAAUGGAGUGUUAAGGACACAGGAGUGCAUGAAUUUACAUGUAAUAUACACACAUACAAAUUCGCCUGUAGACAGCAAUAUUUGGUUAUAGGAAAUGUCUAUAAACAGCACAUUCUAAAAGCAGCUUUAGGAUUAUGGGUGCUUUUUUUCCUCUUAAAUGUGUUAAUUUUUAAAAUGUGUUUAAAUGUGUUAAUUUUUUUUCUCCACUGAACAUAAUUUGUAUAAAUUGAAAAGAAAACAAGGUAAUCUUUUGAAAAAAAAAGACAUAAUAAUAAAAUGAUUCCCCACUUAGUGCCUGAUGUCCUUCAAAUGUUAUUUUAUUAGUCCUAUAAUAGAUUUCAAAAUUAAAUGAAAAGACAAGGACAUUAAGAUUUAGGAUGAAAAUAGCUGAAUUUAAAAUAAGUUUCAAGAAGCUGCCAAGCCUUCCUGCACUAUGCUAUCUCAGCUUCUUGGGGAGGACAGGGUUAAAGGGAGGCCUUCUGUGGGAAAGCCUGAUGAUCCUUUUGAGGAAUAAAUCAACAUCCAGUUGCUGUUAUUAUAUCCUGGAAGGGCUCAGGAUGGAAACCUUAUUCUGCCAUUGGCUUUUGGAAAUAAUGAGGCUUUAUAUCCCCUUCAGGGAAAAAAUGUGCUACAAUAGUUUAUAAAAUAAGCCAGAAAAUGCUAUGAAAGGUGUCAGUUUCUUUUUCCUGCAGAAGAAGAAGCCCUUGGUUCGCCAUUGCUAUGGACUGAUUGUGUCAUUCUCCCCAACUCCAAAGUUCAUAAGUGGAAGCCCUAACUCCGGUGUGAUGGCAUUUGGAGGGGGGCCUUUGGGAGGUAAUUAGGGUUAGGCCAGGUCAUGAGGGCGGGGCCCCAAGAUGGGGUUACUGCCCUUAUAAGAAGUGACAGGGAAGAGCAGGUGCUCUCCCUCGUGAGGACACAGCGAGCAGCCAGGACGCGGCCCUCCUGGAACCCGACCACACUGGCAUGCUGAUCCCAGCCUCCAGCCUCCAGCCUCCAGAACUGGGAGGAAACGCAUUUUGGUUGUUUUUGGCUCCCAGCCUGUGGGUGCCCACAGACUCAGUGCUAUCACUGUCUCCAGCGUCAGAACUGCCCAGGGGCAGGUGGAGA